GUUUGGUUUGGUGUUUGUAACUCUCCAAGAAGAGAAGACGGGUGCACAAUCCCAAGAUUGCGGAGGCUGUACGGCGUCUCUGAGGCACACUGCAGGCGUUUUGAACCAGAACAAAGACUAACGUCGCCUCAUAACGAAGCCGUGACCUCCUAUUUGGUUGGGGCUAUUUUAGCAAGUCCACAUUUAACUGCUGAGAAUGACGACAUUGUUUGUAAGUAUAACUUCUAAUGUUUUUCCUAAUUUCUUGUUUAAUUGUAC